UGCAUCUUCACCAAUUGAAGUGAUCGAUCUGACUUCACCGCCACCAGUGGCCCUAGUGUCACCGGUCCAAAACCCAAUGCAGGGGUUUAAUGUGGACUUUAUAACGCCUCAAAACCAGGCACAAGAGGGCGAUCGCUCUACGAUAGACGGGGCAGUUUGGGGACAGACUUCGGGAUUCGUGGAAAACAUUUUAACACCGCCGGUCCAAAACCCACUGCAUUUUAUUGUGGGGUUUACAAGUCCAAACUCAAGUCACGGGAUUGCGCCACUGACGCCCUCAACGCUGGAUGUGACAGGUUCCAAGCAACACAAGAUGAGAUGUAGAUUUCCUGUGCGAGCACACACAAAUAACUGUUAGUGGACAGUAGACUUGAUGGAGGUUGUGGGAAGAAUUUAAAUUUACGGGACGCAUCCUCAGUAGUGUUACUCUGGGUCGUAGGGUGUUUCGGCCUUUAACACUAUACACACUCGCCAGAGGCGGCCAGCUGUAGGGUGAUCAGUCCUCAGCUUGCGUCCCAAGUCCAAUUAGCCAGGAGAAUCACCUUGGACAUCUCAUGGGACUAUGCAUGGCAGGGGCGUCCUGUUCCCUGAGUCAAGCCUAAGCCGACCGCAUACCUCCUGUCAACCUACUUGGCCCAACUGGGGUCGUUCCUCUUCAGCCAGAGCCACUGGCUGCUUCUUUCUGCGGCCUCCGAUGCAGCUUUGAUGGCUGCGCGCUGGAUCUUGCCCUUAACUCCCAAGUCCCUAAGCAGUUUUGUGGUGGAUGUUCCCACAAACCCUCUACACCCAACCUCCACUGGGCGGACUUCCGUGUUCCAGCCACGAUGCCUUGCGUCGGAGGCUAAGUCGGCAUACCGCAGAUGUUUCCGCUCAAAAGCCUCCUCCAUAGAAUCCUCCCAGGGUACGGUAAGUUCGAUUAUGUACACUUUCUUUAUGGAGGGGGACCAGAGCACCAGGUCAGGCCUCAAGGUGGUGGUGGCAAUCUCUGAGGGGAACACCAGCUGUUUGCCAAUGUCUGCUAGCAUCUUCCAGUCACGUGCAAGGGACAGCUGGCUUCUCUCUGAUGGAGUUGAGUUACUUUUGGUAGCUGUAGCCCCUUCACGGACAAAGGCCGUUGCCCAUGGGGUUGUUGGAGUGUUAGACAUUGGCAGUGCUAGGGCGUUGGUGCUGGCUCGUUUUUCCUCCAGUGUAGCAGCAAGGCUCUUUAGGACUUGGUUAUGGCGCCAAGUGUAUCGUCCUUGAGCAAGGCUGGUUUUACACCCCGUGAGUAUAUGCCGGAGGGAGGCUGGCGUGGAGCACAAGACACACCCGGGAUCUUCCCCAAACCACUGGUGGCGAUUAGUUGGUGUUGGGAGGACGUCAUAUGUGGCCCUGAUGGCAAAGCUCAGGCCCCUUGCUUCCAUGGCCCACACAUCCUUCCAGCUCAACCUCCUCCUUUCAACACUCUCCCACCGUGUCCACAGUCCCUGUUUGCCAAGGGCGACUGCCUUGGCCCAUCUUGCCAUCUCCUCUUGACGUCGCACUUCCUUCACCACCAUCUUCCUCCGCACUGGAGCAGUGGCAUUCCUCCAAGCUGGGCAGCUAGUUGUUAGGCCAAGACCUCCCCUUCCUUGCUGAAUGUUCCCUACGAUAUCAGCAUGUCUAAGAGCUGCUGUUGCCUCCUCUACUGCUCUUGCGGGUCUCCACUUGCGCCCAGUAGCCAAAGUCGGUGCGUUUUCUCUGAUCACUAGGUCUUUGGAUUCGUUCAAGGUCAUCUGCAGGCGUGUUUUGGCACACUUGAACUCCUCUGUAAGGCUCGUGAGGGGUAGUUUGAGCACACUGUCUCCGUAGAGGCCUAUGGUGGUGAGGCAACGCGGGACACCAAGCCACUUCUUGAUGUGGACAGUGACUUGCCUCUCUAGCUUCUCUACCGUUGAGAUGGGCACCUCAUAGACUGCCAGGGGCCACAACACCCGGGGUAGCAGACCAAACUGGAAACACCAGGCCUUUAGCUUCCCAGGUAGUUGGGUUUUGUCAAUUGCCUGUAGGCUUGCUUUGAUGUCAUUACGCAGUUGCUUCACCUGGUCUUUGUCUUUCAGGCUAGCAUCAUAGAGCCUUCCAAGGCUUUUAACUGGCUGCUCAGAAAUGGUGGGGAUUGGCUCAUCACCGAUGAAGAACUGCAAGUCAGUAAGCACACCCUUCACCACUGAGAUGCUGCGUGACUUAGAUGGUUUGAUCUUCAUGCGGGCCCAGCUGAUGUUCUCUUCAAGUUUUCUGAGUAACCUUCUGGUGCAUGGGACGGUGGUAGUCAGGGUGGUGAUGUCAUCCAUGUAGGCUCUGAGGGGAGGGAGGCGCCGGCCAGAGUCGAGUCUUUGUCCUCCGACAACCCACUUUGAGGCUUGGAUGAUGACCUCCAUCGCCAAGGUGAAAGCCAAGGGAGAGACUGUGCAUCCGGCCAUGAUGCCUACUUCAAGGCACUGCCAAGAGGUGGUAAAUUCAGGCGUAGUGAAGCAAAAUUGCAAGUCCUGAAAGUAGGCUUUGAUUAGGGUUGUGAUGGUGUCCGGGAUGUUAAAGAACUCGAAGGAAGUCCAGAGGAGUUCAUGGGGCACAGAGCCAAAGGCAUUUGCAAGAUCCAGGAAAAUCGCGUGGAGAUCCCUUUUCUCCAACUUUGCCAUUUGGAUCUGGUGCCAGAUCAUGCUGGCAUGUUCUAGGCACCCAGAGAAGCCCGAUAUUCCUGCCUUUUGCACAGAUGUGUCCACGUACCCAUUUCUGUGCAGGUACUGCGCCAUCCGUUGUGCAAUGACUCCGAAGAAUAUCUUGCCCUCCACAUUAAGCAAGGGAAUGGGGCGGAACUGGUUGAUGUUUGAUGCGUUCUUCUCCUUUGGGAUAAGGAUCCCGCCUGCCCUACGCCACGCUUUGGGUAUGGUCCUCUUCUUCCAUAUCGUCCUCAUGAGGCUCCAGAGAAACCUGCAGACAUCUGGUGCGUUCUUGUAUACUUUGUAUGGGACACCGUUUGGCCCAGGAGCUGAUGCUGUUCGCGCACGGUGGACGAUCUUCUCCACUUCUUUCCACGUUGGAGGACCGAUAUCAAAUUGAUGCUCUGGGGGGUCGAUUGGUGGCAUGUCUGGAGGGAUGGUCAUGCAUACGAAGCGCUUUGGAUCAGAGUGCGUUGAUCUCAGGUGCUCCUCCAGGUCAUUCUUUGUUGUUUUUAAAACUCCACUUUUCUCCUUGGUGAAAAGAGUCUUCAGGAACUUGAAGGGAUCUUUAUAGAACCGAGUUCUUGUUUGUUCUUUAUUCCUCCUUCGUUUCCGGGAAUUCUCUGCUCUACGGAGGGAUGCCAGACGUGUUUUAAUGUCAGCUUGGAGGGUGCUUAUGCCCUCCUUUUCCACUUCUGAGGCCUUCUUCCAAAGCCUUCUGAGCUGUCUCCUUUCUUGAACAAGGCAUUUGAUUUUCUGUUGUCUUCUGGAGACUGGUGGAGUGGGAGUCUUUUUAGCACCUUUCGACUGUAGGACCCCAAAGCGUUCUGCUCCAUAUUGAUAGAUAACAGAGGGACAGAGGGAGAAAACGACACAGAAUUCGAGGAAAACACAGCAGAGUCCGAUGUGGGACAAGAAACGGGACAGGAGGAGACAUCUGACGCUGGAGUCUACAACCAGGAAAGAUUUCAUUAUUUUCCAGAUAGUGAAAGUGAAUAUGUUGACAUGCAAGCUCUAAAUCAGAGGGAUAUAGCCUCAGACAGUGAUGGAAUUGAAACAGUGGAUUUCAACACCUCUGUGCUAAUUGUCGAACAAGUGUUCAGAAGAUACAUGUAUGAUAUAGCAUGUUUAAAUCGCCGCAUGAUUGAGAAUAUAUAUAAUCAACUUAGACAGAACGUUAGACGCAGGCAUUCCGUCAUUUCAUAUUCAGCUAACGCUAGACGUGCCAGUCGUGAACAAAGAACACUGCCACAAAGAGUCCAUCGCAGGUUGCAAUUUGAAGACUAAUUUUUGAUUGGGUGAUAAAGACAAAUGGCUGAACCAGAUCACAACAAUUCCCCUGAAAUUAGAGACCAUCUCCUCCACUUGAUCUCUGAGAUAAACCGAGAAAGAUCCGAAG